UACGUAGGGGGCGAGCGUUGUCCGGAAUCAUUGGGCGUAAAGCGCAUGUAGGCGGCCAUGUAAGUCGGAUGUGAAAUCCCAAGGCUCAACCUUGGAACUGCAUUCGAUACUGCAUGGCUUGAGGAAGGUAGAGGAGAGUGGAAUUCCCGGUGUAGCGGUGGAAUGCGCAGAUAUCGGGAGGAACACCAGCGGCGAAAGCGGCUCUCUGGGCCUCUCCUGACGCUGAGAUGCGAAAGCGUGGGUAGCGAACAGG
rnacentral:rRNA from 1 species